rnacentral:rRNA from 1 species
UUGUCCUUAGUUGCUACCGGAUAAUGCCGGGCACUCUAAGGAGACUGCCUACGCAAGUAGUGAGGAAGGUGGGGAUGACGUCAAGUCCGCAUGGCCCUUACGCCCAGGGCCACACACGUGCUACAAUGGCUACUACAAAGAGCUGCUAAACCGCAAGGUCAUGCCAAUCUCUAAAAAGUAGUCUCAGUUCGGAUUGGAGUCUGAAACUCGACUCCAUGAAGCUGGAAUUGCUAGUAAUCGCGGAUCAGCACGCCGCGGUGAAUACGUUCCCGGGCCUU